rnacentral:rRNA from 1 species
GACGGAGGAUGCAAGCGUUAUCCGGAAUGAUUGGGCGUAAAGCGUCCGCAGGUGGCAGUUCAAGUCUGCUGUCAAAGACCGGGGCUUAACUUCGGAAAGGCAGUGGAAACUGAACAGCUAGAGUAUGGUAGGGGCAGAGGGAAUUCCUGGUGUAGCGGUGAAAUGCGUAGAGAUCAGGAAGAACAUCGGUGGCGAAAGGCGCUCUGCUGGACCAUAACUGACACUCAGGGACGAAAGCUAGGGGGAGCGAAUGGG